GAACGAAAGGGCAAACCCGGAGGGAUCCGGGGGCGCAAAGCCACGGGCCCGGAAAGGGCGGCCGGGCUGCCGAAA
rfam:Acetothermia bacterium 64_32 S_OP1_64_33_11, whole genome shotgun sequence.